UUUUUGGUUUUUCUUGAGAGAGAGAGGAAUUACUUGGAGGAGAGGUCGAACUUGCACUUAUAUAGAAAAUCGAUAUAAUGAUUUCAUAUCUAUCUAUAAUAAUAAAACAUACUUGUCUCUCUCCUCCUGCGUCCACGUCAGCAGGAAAGGAGGGGGGCAAUUGAGGACACGUGUCUUCCUUUUAGAACAUUUACUCUCGAUUUGUUUCAAGUUUAGACAUCUUUUUCACUUUCAGUUUGGGCUCAUUUAGUUGUUUUGGCCCAAAUUAUAAUUAAUUUAGAGAAACCCUACCUUUCCUCCUUUCGCCAGAGAAAAAAAAAGCAACUUUGGCGACUCCCUUUCAUCUUCUCAGAUGACGUUACACCUUCGAAAAUGACAAUUAAUCAACUACUCCCACUAUGUACUCUUCAAUCCUAAUUCGACCUUCGUUACAUAUAAAAAUGAGGAUGAAGCGUAUGAGCGAUAAAGCGAAAUCCUUUUGCUUUUCGAAUUCUAGAAUUCGAGUCCAUUAUCACUAAAACACCUCUCCACAUUGUGACUUCUCAAGUUCACUUAUCAGAGCUAAAGGUUGGCCGCUGCAGAGAAACUGUUCAGAUUAGACUAAUUCGAUUUGGGAGGCCCUCAAUGUGAAAAAGGAGCUGAUGGUGAUCGACAUGCUGCUUAUUAAUGCGAAGGUUAGCCGUAACCUCAUUUCAAUUUUUAAUUUGCGAUUUAAAGUUUUCUAACUUUUCCUGUACGUGGUUCAUUACGAUCUGUUGAUUUGAGUGCUUUUGAUGUUGCAAGAAGCAAACCAAAAUUACGGUUUGGUGACGCUCCUGUCACGAUUAGAUUUCAGAGUAGUUCCCAUUACGUUCUCAGUAACUUACCGAAGUGUGUGCCCAAACCGGAAGUUAUAGCGUAAUCAUCUUCCUACAGCAAAAAAAAAACGUGUACUUCAGGUCAAUGCUUUGGUAAUCUAAUUAUGAAUUUCCAAACUUUCUGUGAAGUGGUUGAGGAUGAUAAUAGUAGUGCACAAUCCACGGAGUUCCUUCUUGCUAGGCAGAGUAAAUGAAAGAUCAUUGUGCAAGCAGAAAUAGGAGAAGAAAGUUGCUGCUUCUCAAGUUGUUUGGAUGGCUGGUGUGGUGAAUUCAACGAGGUCAAAUAGGUUCGCCAAUGGAUUAAAUAUCACUCAUGUUGCUGCUCUUUUUUAUUCUUCUACAGCUUUUGCGAUCAAGAACCAUGGGCAGGGAUGUCUAUAUAUGCUUAAGUGUGUUCGAUGGCAUAGCCUACAAAUUUCAUAUAAAAUUUCAAGCCUUUGGCUCAAAACCUAAGGUUUUGUUUUGGUAUAAAUCCAGAAAAAAUGUUAGAGGUCAGUUAUUCCUCAACGCCACUUCGAGCACUCAUUUAUUAUUUGACUCGGAAACUUCAGGUCAAAAGGUUGUUGACUGCUUAGUGGGUAAGGUUGAAGAUGAAGCCUGGAGCUUGAGAAUACAGAGGUCGAGCCGCUCGCUGCACCAUACUUAUACAAAUUGAAGCUGAGGGAUAUCUUUUCCUUGGAUUUUCUUGAUGAUUCUAGAGAUUUAACUUCUUUGAGCCGUGUAACUGAACCACCUUCUAAUAGGAAGUAUGUUGCUCUCUAGGAUGGAAUUUUCGUCGUU